rnacentral:ncRNA from 1 species
AUUCGGUUGCCACCGGGUAGCCGAGAUGCGAAAGCAUUCGUGAUACAUCAUUAGGUCUCAGAAGAUGUAUGCACGGGUGCUUUUUCAUUU